UGGCGGCAGGCCUAACACAUGCAAGUCGAGCGGGUUUCGGACCUAGCGGCGGACGGGUGAGUAAUGCGUAGGAAGCUACCCGAUAGAGGGGGAUACCAGUUGGAAACGACUGUUAAUACCGCAUAAUGUCUACGGACCAAAGUGUGGGACCUUCGGGGCCACAUGCUAUCGGAUGCGCCUACGUGGGAUUAGCUAGUUGGUGAGGUAAUGGCUCACCAAGGCGACGAUCUCUAGCUGGUUUGAGAGGAUGAUCAGCCACACUGGAACUGAGACACGGUCCAGACUCCUACGGGAGGCAGCAGUGGGGAAUAUUGGACAAUGGGCGCAAGCCUGAUCCAGCCAUGCCGCGUGUGUGAAGAAGGCCUUCGGGUUGUAAAGCACUUUCAGCGAGGAGGAAGAGUUGUGUGUUAAUAGUACACAGCUUUGACGUUACUCGCAGAAGAAGCACCGGCUAACUCUGUG
rnacentral:rRNA from 1 species